GAUGAACGCUGGCGGCGUGCCUAAUACAUGCAAGUCGAGCGAACAGACGAGGAGCUUGCUCCUCUGACGUUAGCGGCGGACGGGUGAGUAACACGUGGAUAACCUACCUAUAAGACUGGGAUAACUUCGGGAAACCGGAGCUAAUACCGGAUAAUAUAUUGAACCGCAUGGUUCAAUAGUUAAAGACGGUUUUGCUGUCACUUAUAGAUGGAUCCGCGCCGCAUUAGCUAGUUGGUAAGGUAACGGCUUACCAAGGCAACGAUGCGUAGCCGACCUGAGAGGGUGGUCGGCCAAACGGGAACUGAGACACGGUCCAGAACCCUACGGGAGGCAGGAGGAGGGAAUCUUCCGCAAUAGGCGAAAGCCUGACGGAGCAACGCCGCGUGAGGGAUGAAGGUCUUCGGAUCGUAAAACUCUGUUAUUAGGGAAGAAAAAAUGUGUAAGUAACGAUGCACGUCUUGACGGUAACUAAUCAGAAAGCCACGGCUAACUACGUGC
rnacentral:rRNA from 1 species